AAAAAGACAAACCCUGAUUUCCGUGCCCAACGUUUGACCGUUCGUCUUAUUUAAAAAUUUUUUAAAAAAAAUUAAAAAGACAAGUCACGCAUAAAAUAUUAAUCAUAUUUUAUCAUCUAACAACAAUGAAAAUACAAAUUAUAAAAAUAUUUCAUAUAAGACGAACAGUCAAAGUUGGACACGCAAACCCAGGGUUUGCCUUUUU
rnacentral:pre_miRNA from 1 species